rnacentral:rRNA from 1 species
UGAAUACGAGAUGCUACGGCGUCGAAGCAGUGUAUGUCAGACUUCCAAGAAAAGCUCGCAAUGUCAUAAAUAAAGAAUGCCUGUACCAUAACCGACACAGGUGGGUAGGUAGAGUAUACUAAGGGGCGCGAGAUAACUCUCUCUAAGGAACUCGGCAAAAUAACUCCGUAACUUCGGGAGAAGGAGUGCCUUCUAUUAGAAGGUUGCAAUAACAAGAUCCAAGAAACUGUUUAUCAAAAACACAGGUCUCCGCUAAGUCGUAAGACGAUGUAUGGGGGCUGACGCCUGCCCAGUGCCAGAAGGUUAAAGAAGUUGGUUAGCUUUGGCGAAGCUGAUGACUGAAGCCCUGGUGAACGGCGGCCGUAACAAUAACGGUCCUAAGGUAGCGAAAUUCCUUGUCGGGUAAGUUCCGACCCGCACGAAAGGCGUAAUGAUUUGGAUACUGUCUCGGAGAGGGACUCGGUGAAAUAGACUUGUCUGUGAAGAUGCGGACUACCUGCACCAGGACAGAAAGACCCUAUGAAGCUUUACUGUAACUUGAAAUUGAAAUUGGACUUUAUUUGCGCAGCAUAGGUGGAAGGCGUUGAGAUUACUCUUGCGGGAGUACUGGAGCCAUCAGUGAGAUACCACUCCUAUAAUGUUAGAUUUCUAACUUUGGAUCAUGAUCUGGUCAAAGAACAGUUUCAGGCGGGCAGUUUGACUGGGGCGGUCGCCUCCCAAAUGGUAACGGAGGCGUACAAAGGUUUCCUCUGAACGGGUAGAAAUCGUAUCUAGAGUGUAAAGGCAUAAGGAAGCUUGACUGUGAGACCUACAAGUCGAGCAGGGACGAAAGUCGGUCUUAGUGAUCUGACGGUGCUGAGUGGAAAGGCCGUCACUCAACGGAUAAAAGUUACUCUAGGAUAACAGGCUGAUCUCCCCCAAGAGUUCACAUCGACGGGGAGGUUUGGCACCUCGAUGUCGGCUCAUCGCAUCCUGGGGCGGUAGUACGUCCCAAGGGUUGGGCUGUUCGCCCAUGAAAGCGGUACGCGAGCUGGGUUCAGAACGUCGUGAGACAGUUCGGUCCAUAUCCGGUGUAGGCGUUAGAAUAUUGAGAGGAGCCUUCUUUAGUACGAGAGGACCGAGAAGGACAUACCUCUGGUGUACCAGUUAUCGUGCCAACGGUAAACGCUGGGUAGCUAUGUAUGGAGAGGAUAACCGCUGAAAGCAUCUAAGUGGGAAGCCCACCUCAAGAUGAGUAUUCUC